rnacentral:rRNA from 1 species
GACAGAGGGUGCAAACGUUGCUCGGAAUCACUGGGCGUAAAGGGCUCGUAGGCGGCCAACUAAGUCACACGUGAAAUCCCCAGCUUAACCUGGGAACUGCGUGUGAUACUGGAUGGCUUGAAUCCGGGAGAGGGAUGCAGAAUUCCAGGUGUAGCGGUGAAAUGCGUAGAUAUCUGGAGGAAUACCGGUGGCGAAGGCGGCAUCCUGGACCGGCAUUGACGCUGAUGAGCGAAAGCUAGGGGAGCAAACGGG